CGAGUGGCGGACGGGUGAGGAAUACAUCGGAAUCUACUCUGUCGUGGGGGAUAACGUAGGGAAACUUACGCUAAUACCGCAUACGACCUACGGGUGAAAGCAGGGGAUCUUCGGACCUUGCGCGAUUGAAUGAGCCGAUGUCGGAUUAGCUAGUUGGCGGGGUAAAGGCCCACCAAGGCGACGAUCCGUAGCUGGUCUGAGAGGAUGAUCAGCCACACUGGAACUGAGACACGGUCCAGACUCCUACGGGAGGCAGCAGAA
rnacentral:rRNA from 1 species